rnacentral:tRNA from 1 species
CGAGUCCGUGCCGGGCGACGACGGCGAGCUCUCCCGGAUCUCGGGUGUCGGCGGCCGUAAGCUGGAGCGGUUCGGAGCCGAUGUCCUCGCC